rnacentral:rRNA from 1 species
GAUGAACGCUGGCGGCGUGCCUAAUACAUGCAAGUCGAGCGAACAGACGAGGAGUUUGCUCCUCUGACGUUAGCGGCGGACGGGUGAGUAACACGUGGAUAACCUACCUAUAAGACUGGGAUAAAUUCGGGAAACCGGAGCUAAUACCGGAUAAUAUAUUGAACCGCAUGGUUCAAUAGUGAAAGACGGUUUUGCUGUCACUUAUAGAUGGAUCCACGCCGCAUUAGCUAGUUGGUAAGGUAACGGCUUACCAAGGCAACGAUGCGUAGCCGAGCUGAGAGGGUGAUCGGCCACACUGGAACUGAGACACGGUCCAGACUCCUACGGGAGGCAGCAGUAGGGAAUCUUCCGCAAUGGGCGAAAGCCUGACGGAGCAACGCCGCGUGAGUGAUGAAGGUCUUCGGAUCGUAAACCUCUGUUAUUAGGGAAGAACAGAUGUGUAAGUAACUAUGCACGUCUUGACGGUACCUAAUCAGAAAGCCACGGCUAACUACGUG